rnacentral:tRNA from 1 species
UGCCGGGGUGAUGGAAUUGGUAGACAUGCUUGGCUUAGAACCAAGUGCUUUACGGUGUGCAGGUUCAAGUCCUGUCCCCGGUAA